rnacentral:tRNA from 1 species
GCCUGGCUGGCUCAAUCAGAAGAGCAUGUGACUUUUAAUUUUAGGGUUGUGAGUUCGAGUCACAUGCUGGGUA